CAAUAGCGUAUAUUAAAGUUGUUGCAGUUAAAAAGCUCGUAGUUGGAUUUGUGGCGUACGGUGUGUUCCGGGCACUUGUUGUCUGAGUAACCUGCUGUUGCCAUCCUUGGGUGGAACCUGUGUGGCAUUAGGUUGUCGUGCAGGGGAUGCCCAUCAUUUACUGUGAAAAAAUUAGAGUGUUCAAAGCAGGCUUAUGCCGUUGAAUAUAUUAGCAUGGAAUAAUGAGAUAGGACUUUUUUGCUAUUUUGUUGGUUUGCGCAAGAAGGUAAUGAUUAAUAGGGACAGUUGGGGGUAUUCGUACUCCAUUGUCAGAGGUGAAAUUCUUGGAUUUUUGGAAGACGAACUACUGCGAAAGCAUUUACCAAGGAUGUUUUCAUUAA
rnacentral:rRNA from 1 species